UGGGAAUAUUGCACAAUGGGCGAAAGCCUGAUGCAGCAACGCCGCGUGAGUGAUGAAGGCCUUCGGGUUGUAAAGCUCUGUCUUUUGGGACGAUAAUGACGGUACCAAAGGAGGAAGCCACGGCUAACUACGUGCCAGCAGCCGCGGUAAUACGUAGGUGGCAAGCGUUGUCCGGAUUUACUGGGCGUAAAGGAUGCGUAGGCGGAUUUUUAAGUGAGAUGUGAAAACCCUAAGCUUAACUUGGGGACUGCAUUUCAUACUGGAAAUCUAGAGUGCGGGAGAGGAGAAUGGAAUUCCUAGUGUAGCGGUGAAAUGCGUAGAGAUUAGGAAGAACACCAGUGGCGAAGGCGAUUCUCUGGACCGUAACUGACGCUGAGGCAUGAAAGCGUGGGUAGCAAACAGGAUUAGAUACCCUGGUAGUCCACGCCGUAAACGAUGAGUACUAGGUGUAGGAGGUAUCGACCCCUUCUGUGCCGCAGUUAACACAAUAAGUACUCCGCCUGGGAAGUACGAUCGCAAGAUUAAAACUCAAAUGAAUUGACGGGGGUCAUAGCUGUUUUUCCU
rnacentral:rRNA from 1 species